AAUAGAUACCCCGGUAGUCCACGCCCUAAACGAUGUCAACUAGCUGUUGGGGCCUUCGGGCCUUGGUAGCGCAGCUAACGCGUGAAGUUGACCGCCUGGGGAGUACGGUCGCAAGAUUAAAACUCAAAGGAAUUGACGGGGACCCGCACAAGCGGUGGAUGAUGUGGAUUAAUUCGAUGCAACGCGAAAAACCUUACCUACCCUUGACAUGUCUGGAAUCCUGAAGAGAUUUGGGAGUGCUCGCAAGAGAACCGGAACACAGGUGCUGCAUGGCUGUCGUCAGCUCGUGUCGUGAGAUGUUGGGCUAAGUCCCGCAACGAGCGCAACCCUUGUCAUUAGUUGCUACGAAAGGGCACUCUAAUGAAACUGCCGGUGACAAACCGGAGGAAGGUGGGGAUGACGUCAAGUCCUCAUGGCCCUUAUGGGUAGGGCUUCACACGUCAUACAAUGGUCGGGACAGAGGGUCGCCAACCCGCGAGGGGGAGCCAAUCCCAGAAACCCGAUCGUAGUCCCGGAUCGCAGUCUGCAACUCGACUGCGU
rnacentral:rRNA from 1 species